AAGAAGGAGUCCCUCAACCAGAGCCUCGCCGAGUGGAAGCUCUUCAUCUACAACCCGACCACCGGAGAGUUCCUGUGGCGCACCGCCAAGAGCUGGGGUUUGAUCUUGCUCUUCUACCUAAUUUUUUAUGGGUUCCUGGCUGCACUCUUCUCAUUCACGAUGUGGGUUAUGCUUCAGACUCAACGAUGAGGUUCCAAAAUACCGUGACCAGAUUCUUAACCCAGGACUGAUGGUUUUUCCAAAACCAGUCACUGCAUUGGAAUAUGCAUUCAGUAGGUCUGAUCUAACUUCGUAUGCAGGGUACACUGAAGACCUUAAGAAGUUUCUAAAACCAUAUACUUUAGAAGAACAGAAAAACCUCACAGUCUGUCCUGAUGGAGCACUUUUUGAACAGAAGGGUCCAGUUUAUGUUGCUUGUCAAUCUCCCAUUUCGUUACUUCAAGCAUGCCGUGGUAUGAAUGAUCUUGAUUUCGGCUAUUCUCAAAGAAACCCUUGUAUUCUUGUGAAAAUGAACAGAAUAAUUGGAUUAAAGUCUGAAGGAGUGCCAAGGAUAGAUUGUGUUUCGAAGAAUGAAGAUAUACCAAAUGUAGCAGUUUAUCCUCAUAAUGGAAUUAUAGACUUAAAAUAUUUCCCAUAUUAUGGGGAAAAACUGCAUGUGGGGUAUCUACAGCCAUUGGUUGCUGUUCAGGUCAGCUUUGCUCCUAACGAUACUGGGAAAGAAGUAACAGUUGAAUGCAAGAUUGAUGGAUCAGCCAACCUUAAAAGUCAGGAUGAUCGUGACAAGUUUUUGGGACGAGUUAUGUUCAAAAUCACAGCAUGUG
rnacentral:lncRNA from 1 species